rnacentral:rRNA from 1 species
UACAGAGGUCCCGAGCGUUGUUCGGAUUCACUGGGCGUAAAGGGUGCGUAGGUGGUGGGGUAAGUCGGAUGUGAAAUUUCGGAGCUUAACUCCGAAACUGCAUUCGAUACUGCGGUGCUUGAGGACUGGAGAGGAGACUGGAAUUCAUGGUGUAGCAGUGAAAUGCGUAGAGAUCAUGAGGAAGACCAGUGGCGAAGGCGGGUCUCUGGACAGUUCCUGACACUGAGACACGAAGGCCAGGGGAGCAAACGGG